GACGUAGGGUGCGAGCGUUGUCCGGAUUUAUUGGGCGUAAAGAGCUCGUAGGCGGCUCGUCGCGUCGGCUGUGAAAACCCGUGGCUUAACUGCGGGCCUGCAGCUGAUACGGGCGGGCUAGAGUUCGGUAGGGGAGACUGGAAUUCCUGGUGUAGCGGUGAAAUGCGCAGAUAUCAGGAGGAACACCAAUUGCGAAGGCAGCUCGCUGGGACGUUACUGACGCUGAGACGCGAAAGCGUGGGGAGCAAACAGG
rnacentral:rRNA from 1 species